rnacentral:rRNA from 1 species
AUUGAACGCUAGCGGGAUGCUUUACACAUGCAAGUCGAACGAGUGGCGGACGGGUUAGUAAGAUAUCGGAACGUGCCCAGUAGCUGGGGUUAGCUACUCGGCAGUGUUGCUACUACCGCCUACUUUUGGAGCGGCCGGUAUCGGAUUAGCGAGUGGGGGGGGUAAAGGCUGACCAAGGCAACGAUCCGUAGCUGGUUUGAGAGGAAGACCAGCCACACUGGGACUGAGACACGGCCCAGACGCCUACGGGAGGCAGCAGUGGGGAAUAUUGGACAAUGGGGGAAACCCUGAUCCAGCCAUCCCGCGUGUAUGAGAAGGCCUUCGGGUUGUAAAGUACUUUAGGCAGAGAAGCGGUAUCUGCAGAAUAAGCACCGGCUAACUACGUGCCAGCAGCCGCGGUAAUUC